UGGGGAAUAUUGCACAAUGGGGGAAACCCUGAUGCAGCGACGCCGCGUGAACGAAGAAGGUAUUCGUAUCGUAAAGCUCUGUCCUAUGGGAAGAUAAUGACAGUACCAUAGAAGAAAGCUCCGGCUAAAUACGUGCCAGCAGCCGCGGUAAUACGUAUGUAGCGAGCGCUGUCCGGAAUUAUUGGGCGUAAAGGGUACGCAGGCGGUUUAAUAAGUCGAAUGUUAAAGAUCGGGGCUCAACCCCGUAAAGCAUUGGAAACUGAUAAACUUGAGUAGUGGAGAGGAAAGUGGAAUUCCUAGUGUAGUGGUGAAAUACGUAGAUAUUAGGAGGAAUACCAGUAGCGAAGGCGACUUUCUGGACACAAACUGACGCUGAGGUACGAAAGCGUGGGGAGCAAACAGG
rnacentral:rRNA from 1 species